CUAACAUACAAUUAGCAGAAUAUAUUAAAAUAUGAAAGCUUUAAAGCGAAAUUACGGUGAUUAGAAACAGAAAUCAUCGAUUGUGAUAAGAUUAAAUUUGCAUACAAGCAAUCCACGCUUCAACGGCCAAUUGCCACUGCAUCAGCUCCGACCUCCACCAUCGUUCUUAGGUCUAGCCUUCUAGGUUUUGCCGUUGAUUUCUCAGGGCUUAGAUUAGGAGGUUUUGAAAUUUUGAAGGCAUAGAUUAGUGGCUUUGGUCCAGCGAUUUUCUAAGCAUUAGUGGAUUACUGGCCUUGUCG
rnacentral:lncRNA from 1 species